rnacentral:rRNA from 1 species
CGGAGGUACUCGAGUGGCGAACGGGUGAGUAACACGUGGGUGAUCUGCCCUGCACUCUGGGAUAAGCCUGGGAAACUGGGUCUAAUACCGGAUAGGACCGCACUUUAGUGUGUGUUGUGGAAAGUUUUUUCGGUGUAGGAUGAGCCCGCGGCCUAUCAGCUUGUUGGUGGGGUAAUGGCCUACCAAGGCGGCGACGGGUAGCCGGACUGAGAGGUUGGUCGGCCACAUUGGGACUGAGAUACGGCCCAG